AGUCACGCGAGGCUGGCUUGCUGGAACCGGCUAGAAAAUGCAGCCCUGCCUGCCGCAGGGAUCUCCUCCGGUAUGGCCACACAUAUGAGUUCUGGCAAUGCCCAUUAGUGAUAUGGCCGAUAGUUUCUUCUGUCUUGCUUCCAGGAACCUUUUCUUGGUUUGAAGCCACCGAACCAGAAGAGAGAAUUUUUACCACUUUGAGGACUUCUUGUGACGAAUCCAAUGGGAAUUCCAUAAUAUUCAGAAACAAAACAUUUUGAGGGCCAACAAAUUAUUAAGCCCUUUGCUAGGUCUUAGAGAUACAAAGAUAAAGAAGACUGGAGUUUUCUUUUUAUUAUCUACCAGACUGAAGGCCACUGCCUGGGGACUUGAUCUAAGAGAAGAAAUAUCAGGAGACCUGGGUUUGGCUCCUGGCUCUGCCAGGUGAUCAUGGAGCAGUCACGUAUUAUCCCUGAGCUUCCGUUUCCUCAUCUACUUAAUUAGUGAUGGGUCUACAGGGCCUUGCUGGGGUCCACUUCUGACAUUCUGUGUUGCAUGGACCAUGUCAGAGAAGAUGGAGACACCUUCACGGCCUGUUAGUCACAUCUCACCAAAGCUUCUCAAUGGGCUGUCAGACAAGAAAGGAGCCUCCUGUAGCCAUCUUAAUCAGCAUCCCCCAUCUGUGAGGUCAUCGGGAUAUUUCAAACAAUCUUCAGCUCUCAUUAGUUGAGUGCGUUUCACAGGCAAUUGUCCGGAAAAGGAAGAGGAUGACACUGAUGACCAGCCGUCUUGGGUGGUUCACAGGCUCACUAAGGAGGCAGUGUUGAGCCUGACGGAUCUGUGAAGGCCCCUCCGACUUGUAACUGUAAAAUGAUGACUCUUGAUGGAACUCUACAGUUGUUGACACCUGGUGGGCCACCUACAGCUGAAGGUUCAAAGUGAUAAAACAAACCUGGUACGGAAAUAACUGAUUGUGGAACGCGAAGGACCUGUGAUCAUGCAAAGGUGACAGAGCAGACACUGAUAGUAGAACUGUGGAGAAGUAUCCCUGGAGAUGACCCACAAUCUCAAGAAGGCUGAAGAGGAGAGGAAGAGAAUGGAUAAAUCGAAACAAGUGUUUAGAUGAUCAAGGCCUUAUAAGCCAUACCGCCAUGUAAGACGUGCCAUUCACCUUCCACCAUGAUUGUGAGGCUUCCCCUGCCAUGUGGAACUCUAAGGUCCAAGACAUUGUGGAACAGAGACAAGCCAUUUCUACUGUGUCCUUAUUGAAUACCUGGCCCACAGUAUCCCUGACCAUAACAAAAUGCUACCCAUCAAAUAAGAGAACCCAUUGCAGAACCAGAAGGGACAUCAUCCAAGCUGUCUGAAAUCCCGGUUGGUACUCCAGGCUUCAACAACUGCAGCACAAUGAGAGACAGCAAAGAACAUCCUGGCCUUUGACAACCCCCUGUCUUCUAACAUACUGAGGUUAAUCAGACCGAGGACAAUUUGGAAGGGGCUCUCUGCCACAACUUGGGGAGUGGAGACAGGACGGGGGAGGAGCCAAGAUGACCGAAUAGGAACAGCUUCGGUCCACAGCUCCCAGCGUGAGCGAUGCAGAAGACGGGUGAUUUCUGCAUUUCCAACUGAGGUACCGGGUUCAUCUCACUGGGGAGUGCCGGACAGUGGGUGCAGCACACCAUGCACGAGCCAAAGCAGGGCAAGGCAUCGCCUCACCUGGGAAGCGCAAGGGGUCAGGGAAUUCCCUUUCCUAGUCAAAGAAAGCAGUGACAGACAGCACCUGGAAAAUCGGGUCACUCCCACCCUAAGACUGCACUUUUCCAAUGGGCUUAACAAACGGCACACAAGGAGAUUAUAUCCCGCGCAUGGCUCAGAGGGUCCUACGCCCACAGAGUCUUGCUCAUUGCUAGCACAGCAGUCCAAGAUCAAACUGCAAGGCGGCAGCGAGGCUGGGGGAGGGGCGCCAGCCGUGGCCCAGUUAGUUGUUUGAUUAAGCAAACAAAGCAGCCGGGAAGCUCGAUCUGGGUGGAGCCCACCACAGCUCAAGGAGGCCUGCCUGCCUCCCUCUGUAGGCUCCAACUCUGGGGGCAGGGCACAGACAAAUGAAAAGAUAGCACUAACCUCCGCAGACUUAAAUGUUCCUCUCUGACAGCUUUGAAGAGAGUAGUGGUUCUCCCAGCACGCAGCUUGAGAUCUGAGAAUGGGCAGACUGCCUCCUCAAGUGGGUCCCUGACCCCUGAGUAGCCUAACUGGGAGGCACCCCCCAGUAGGGGCGGACUGACACCUCACAUGGCUGGGUACUCCUCUAAGACAAAACUUCCAGAGGAAGGAUCAGGCAGCAGCAUCUGCAGUUCACCAAUAUCCACUGUUCUGCAGCCACUGCUGCUGAUACCCAGGCAAACAGGGUCUGGAGUGGACCUCUAGCAACCUCCAACAGACCUGCAGCUGAGGGUCCUGCCUGUUAGAAGGAAAACUAACAAACAAAGGACAUCCACACCAAAAACCCAUCUGUACGUCACCAUCAUCGAAGACCAAAGGUAGAUAAAACCACAAAGAUGGGGAAAAAACAGAGCAGAAAAACUGGAAACUCUAAAACUCAGAGUGCCUCUCCUCCUCCAAAGGAACGCAGCUCCUCACCAGCAAUGGCACAAAGCUGGACAGAGAAUGACUUUGACGAGUUGAGAGAAGAAGGCUUCAGAUGAUCAAACUACUCCGAGCUACAGGAGGAAAUUCGAACCAAUGGCAAAGAAGUUAAAAGCUUUGAAAAAAAAAUUAGACGAAUGGAUAACUAGAAUAACCAAUGCAGAGAAGUCCUUAAAGGACCUGAUGGAGCUGAAAACCAAGGCACGAGAACUAUGUGAUGAAUGCACAAGCCUCAGUAGCUGAUGCGAUCAACUGGAAGAAAGGGUAUCAGUGAUGGAAGACAAAAUGAAUGAAAUGAAGCGAGAAGAGAAGUUUAGAGAAAAAAAAUAAAAAGAAAUGGACCAAGCCUCCAAGAAACAUGGGACUAUGUGAAAAGACCAAAUCUACAUCUGAUUGGUGUACCUGAAAGUGACGUGACGGGGAGAAUGGAACCAAGUUGGAAAACACUCUGCAGGAUAUUAUCCAGGAGAACUUCCCCAAUCUAGCAAGGCAGGCCAACAUUCAAAUUCAGGAAAUACAGAGAAUGCCACAAAGAAAAUCCUCCAGAAGAGCAACUCCAAGACACAUAAUUGUCAGAUUCACCAAAGUUGAAAUGAAGGAAAAAAUGUUAAGGGCAGCCAGAGAGAAAGGACGGGUUACCCACAAGGGAAGCCCAUCAGACUAACAGCUGAUCUCUCGGGAAGCCCAUCAGACUAACAGCUGAUCUCUCAGCAGAAACUCUACAGGCCAGAAGAGAGUGGGGACCAAUAUUCAACAUUCUUAAAGAAAAGAAUGUUCAACCCAGAAUCUCAUAUCCAGCCAAACUAAGCUUCAUAAGUGAAGGAGAAAUAAAAUACUUUACAGACAGGCAAAUGCUGAGAGAUUUUGUCACCACCAGACCUGCCCUAAAAGAGCUCCUGAAGGAAGCACUAAACAUGGAAAGGAACAACCGGUACCAGCCACUGCAAAAACAUGCCAAAUUGUAAAGACCAUCAAGGCUAGGAAAAAACUGUACGAGCAAAAUAACCAGCUAACAUCAUAAUGACAGGAUCAAAUUCACACAUAACAAUAUUAACUUUAAAUGUAAAUGGGCUAAAUGCUCCAAUUAAAAGACACAGACUGGCCAAUUGGAUAAAGAGUCAAGACCCAUCAGUCUGCUGUAUUCAGGAAAUCCAUCUCACGUGCAGAGACACACAUAGGCUCAAAAUAAAGGGAUGGAGGAAGAUCUACCAAGCAAAUGGAAAACAAAAAAAGGCAGGGGUUGCAAUCCUAGCCUCUGAGAAAACAGACUUUAAACCAACAAAGAUCAAAAGAGACAAAGAAGGCCAUUACAUAAUGGUAAAGGGAUCAAUUCAACAAGGAGAGCAAACUAUCCUAAAUAUAUAUGCACCCAAUACAGGAGCACCCAGAUUCAUAAAGCAAGUCCUUAGUGACUUACAAAAAGACUUAGACUCCCAAACAAUAAUAAUGGGAGACUUUAACACCCCACUGUCAACAUUAGACAGAUCAACGAGACAGAAAGUUAACAAGGAUACUCAGGAAUUGAACUCAGCUCUGCACCAAACAGACCGAAUAGACAUCUACAGAACUCUCCACCCCAAAUCAACAGAAUAUACAUUCUUUUCAGUACCACACCACACCUACUCCAAAAUUGACCACAUAGUUGGAAGUAAAGCACUCCUCAGCAAAUGUAAAAGAACAGAAAUUAUAACUAACUGUCUCUCAGACCACAGUGCAAUCAAAUUAGAACUCAGGAUUAAGAAACUCACUCAAAACCCCUCAACUACAUGGAAACUGAACAACUUGCUCCUGAAUGACUACUGGGCAAAUAAUGAAAUGAAGGCAGAAAUAAAGAUGUGCUUUGAAACCAAAGAGAACAAAGACACAACAUACCAGAGUCUCUGGGACACAUUCAAAGCAGUGUGUAGAGGGAAAUUUAUAGCACUAAAUGCCCACAAGAGAAAGCAGGAAAGAUCUAAAAUUGACACCCUAACAUCACAAUUAAAAGAACUAGAGAAGCAAGAGCAAACACAUUCAAAAGCUAGCAGAAGGCAAGAAAUAACUAAGAUCAGAGCAGAACUGAAGGAAAUAGAGACACAAAAAAUCCUUCAAAAAAUUAAUGAAUCCAGGAGCUGGCUUUUUGAAAAGAUCAACAAAAUUGAUAGACCGCUAGCAAGACUAAUAAAGAAGAAAAGAGAGAAGAACUGCAUAGAUGCAAUAAAAAAUGAUAAAGGAGAUAUCACCACCGAUCCCACAGAAAUACAAACUACCAUCAGAGAAUACUAUAAACACCUCUACGCAAAUAAACUAGAAAAUCUAGAAGAAAUGGAUAAAUUCCUCAAACACAUCCAUCCUCCCAAGACUAAACCAGGAAGAAGUUGAAUCUCUGAAUAGACCAAUAACAGGCUCUGAAAUUGAGGCAAUAAUCAAUAGCUUACCAACCAAAAAAAGUCCAGGACCAGAUGGAUUCACAGUCGAAUUCUACCAGAGUUACAAAGAGGAGCUGGUACCAUUCCUUCUAAAACUAUUCCAAUCAAUAGAAAAAGAAGGAAUCCUCCCUAACUCAUUUUAUGAGGCCAGCAUCAUCCUCAUACCAAAGCCUGGCAGAGAUACAACAAAAAAAGAGAACUUUAGACCAAUAUCCUUGAUGAACACUGAAGCAAAAAUCCUCAAUAAAAUACUGGCAAACCUAAUCCAGCAGCACAUCAAAAAGCUUAUCUACCAUGAUCAAGUGGGCUUCAUCCCUGGGAUGCAAGGCUGGUUCAACAUAUGCAAAUCAAUAAAUGUAAUUCAACAUAUAAACAGAACCAAAGACAAAAACCACAUGAUUAUCUCAAUAGAUGCAGAAAAGACCUUUGACAAAAUUCAACAACCCUUCAUGCUAAAAACUCCCAAUAAAUUAGGUAUUGAUGGGAUGUAUCUCAAAAUAAUAAGAGCUAUCUAUGACAAACCCACAGCCAAUAUCAUACUGAAUGGGCAAAAACUGGAAGCAUUCCCUUUGAAAAGGGGCACAAGACAGGGAUGCCCUCUCUCACCACUCCUAUUCAACAUAGUGUUGGAAGUUCUGGCCAGGGAAAUUAGGCAGGAGAAGGAAAUAAAGGGUAUUCAAUUAGGAAAAGAGGAAGUCAAAUUGUCCCUGUUUGCAGAUGACAUGAUUGUAUAUCUAGAAAACCCCAUUGUCUCAGCCCAAAAUCUCCUCAAGCUGAUAAGCAACUUCAGCAAAGUCUCAGGAUACAAAAUCAAUGUACAAAAAUCACAAGCAUUCUUAUACACGAAUAACAG
rnacentral:lncRNA from 1 species